AUAAAUUGUAUAUAAGCAGUAUAUAUUGAUAAAAUAAUGUUGUCAUUAGUAUAUUGUGUUGUAUGUUAUAUAUUGUAUGUUAUAUAAAUAUUCAAGGAUUGAUAUAAAAGUGAAGACAAAGAAAUAUUGAGACAAAAGAUAUUCAAGGAUAUGAUAAAGAGCAUAUUUAUUGACCAAAAUGGCAUAUCUUUCUUAGUCUUCCU
rnacentral:lncRNA from 1 species